rnacentral:ncRNA from 1 species
UUUGCUUCUUUAGAAGAAACUGCUGCACUUAAUACUACAGUGUCACCAUAACGAACUAAAACAGCUCCAUUCGCUUGUUUUGCUAAUUGACCGACUUCUACUUCUAAGGGACGGCCUCCCCAUGUCAUUUUAAAUACUUGUUUUUCUGACAUAACUUCUCCUUUUCCAUUUCGUGAAAGCAAGA